AGGGACUUAGGUUAACGUAAAAGACCCAGGGCCUUCAAAGCCCUAAGCGAAAGUGGGAAUCUUUCAGUCCCUG
rnacentral:tRNA from 1 species